CUCCUGCCGGCGUGCCCGCACGCGUUCCAUCCGGAGUGCAUCGGCCUCUGGCUCGCGAAGCACGUCACGUGCCCGCUCUGCCGCGCCAGCGUCCUCGACCCGCCGGUCCUUGACCCUGAGGAGCUGAUGCAGCCUCCGUCGCCGGAGGAGGAAAUGCCGGCGCCGCACGACUCGCCGCGCCGGCUCGCGGAUCACGACACGGUGGUGGUGCUAAUCGAGGACCCCGGCUGCGACGAUGAGGAGGACGAGAGGACAAGGAUCCUUGCGAGGAGGAUGCGGUGCGAGGCCGCCGGGCGCCAGGCGCUGCCGCGGUCGAACUCGACGGGGCACGAGCGCGCCGGCGGGACGGAGCAAUUCGCGCUGCGGCUGUCGGAGCACGUACGGCUCGAGAUCCUUAUGUCGCACAGGCUGAGGCACGUGACGAGCGCAGUCGCGUCCGUGCGCGUGAGGGAAUGGAGCGCCCAUAACCCAAGCGCCGGCGGGAAUUCGGUGUGGAGCGCCGUGGCGAGGCUGCUCUCGCUUUUCACGCCAGGGGACGGGCGGAGGGGAGACGACGAGGAGAAGUCCGGGGGUCGUCUCGAUAGAUCCGUAUCCGUGCACCCUCCAUCGAUCUGCCUGGCUGGGGAGGCCGGUUCGCCGGCGGCUGGGUUGGAUCUGUGCUCCGGCACGGAAUCGAGAAGGAAUGGGGAUUCAUAA
rnacentral:rRNA from 1 species